UUCACUUCUCCUCCUCCUCCUCCUCCUCCGCCUCCGCAAGAGAGCUCCCGAUAGAGAAGGGCAGAGAGAGAGAGAGAGAGAGAGAGAGAGUAGUANNNNNNNNNNNNNNNNNNNNUCCUCCGCCUCCGCCAAGAGAGCUCCCGACUAGAGAAGGGACGAGAGAGAGAGAGAGAGAGAGAGGAUUUAUAGAAGUAAAAGACGAGCAAGAGAGAGAGAGAGAGAGGAGAUUUGGACGGCGUGGAGGAGAAACGGAGGGUACCUUCCGAAGUUGGAAGGGCACCUCACUUCCCCCGCUUCUCGUUACCUCCUAUCCCUGAUAAACACCACGCCUUCGAAUUUUAUAGCACUCGAACAAAAUAAAAAAAUAAAAUAAAAAAAAUCUUAAUUUGUAAUAUAAUAA
rnacentral:lncRNA from 1 species